rnacentral:tRNA from 1 species
GCUUAUUUAGUAUAAAUAGUACUCUCGCCUUCCACGCGAGUAGACAGGUCCAGUUCUGAAUAGGUA